rnacentral:rRNA from 1 species
UACGUAGGGCGCAAGCGUUAUCCGGAAUUAUUGGGCGUAAAGAGCUCGUAGGCGGUUUGUCGCGUCUGCCGUGAAAGUCCGGGGCUCAACUCCGGAUCUGCGGUGGGUACGGGCAGACUAGAGUGAUGUAGGGGAGACUGGAAUUCCUGGUGUAGCGGUGAAAUGCGCAGAUAUCAGGAGGAACACCGGUGGCGAAGGCGGGAUCCUGGGCCAGUACUGACGCUGAGGAGCGAAAGCGUGGGGAGCAAACAGG